GACGAACGCUGGCGGCGUGCCUAAUACAUGCAAGUCGAACGCUUUUUCUUUCACCGGAGCUUGCUCCAUCGAAAGAAUAAGAGUGGCGAACGGGUGAGUAACACGUGGGUAACCUGCCCAUCAGAAGGGGAUAACACUUGGAAACAGGUGCUAAUACCGUAUAACACUAUUUUCCGCAUGGAAGAAAGUUGAAAGGCGCUUUUGCGUCACUGAUGGAUGGACCCGCGGUGCAUUAGCUAGUUGGUGAGGUAACGGCUCACCAAGGCAACGAUGCAUAGCCGACCUGAGAGGGUGAUCGGCCACACUGGGACUGAGACACGGCCCAGACUCCUACGGGAGGCAGCAGUAGGGAAUCUUCGGCAAUGGACGAAAGUCUGACCGAGCAACGCCGCGUGAGUGAAGAAGGUUUUCGGAUCGUAAACCUCUGUUGUUAGAGAAGAACAAGGAUGAGAGUAAAAUGAACGUACCUUGACGGUACCUUAUUAGAAAGCCACGGCUAACUACGUGCCAGCCGCCGCGGUAA
rnacentral:rRNA from 1 species